CUCUCUGGUCUGAAUACUCUAGGUACCAGCCGGAGGGGGGUCCAUGCAUGAUGUCUACUUGUAUCCUGAUUUCUGAAUAAAACGCUAAUGAAUGUAACGUAAGAGUCUACCGCUGUCUUUCUUCCAGUGAGUGUCGUCCAGGUGGUGUGUCGCUGUCCAACUCCAACAAAUGGUAGCAGAGCGAUGGUUGUGAAAACCGGUCCAGAGACCUGAGGAGGACAGCACCUGAAGAUCCCUGACGGACCACUUGAUCUAAGACCCGCUCCGAGAAACUGAUCAAACCGCGCGGUGUCCAAAUAAGGAAUGGACUACAUCAAGCAGCACAUGGAAGAACCCUCCCUGCAGCUACGUGAUGCCACCAGGUCCAGUUCAUCUGAUGAAGAGGACUUCUUGUUCGUCAUCUCAAGCGCAUGACAGCAACAAACAGCUGGAUGGAGACUUGACCUGUUCAGCAGAUCACGUUGACUUGCUGAAAUGCUUCCCAACUGUGUGCAGGCUGUCUGUGAAGCUAGACACACUCUACCUGCACCAGGGCCUGUGGCCGUCUUCAGCCCCAGAAGAGCGAGACUGACAUCUGGCCAAUUUGAAAAUCAACUUCUUUUGAAGAUGAACAAGAAUUAGUUCAGUUUCAAGUGAUGAUUCUGGUUGUUACUUUUGGUGCUGCUUUUUUCUGUGUUAAUCAUGUUUUUAUAUUUUAGUAAUUUCAUUGCUAAAUUCAUCCUAGCUCAUACUCCUUGUUCAUGGCGGCCAAAACAAAUAAACUUCAAAAUUCUUA